rnacentral:rRNA from 1 species
UACGUAGGGUGCAAGCGUUGUCCGGAAUUAUUGGGCGUAAAGAGCGUGUAGGCGGCCCGAUUAGUCCGCUGUGAAAGUCCAGGGCUCAACCCUGGAAUGCCGGUGGAUACUGUCGGGCUAGAGUCCGGAAGGGGCGAGUGGAAUUCCUGGUGUAGCGGUGAAAUGCGCAGAUAUCAGGAGGAACACCAGCGGCGAAGGCGGCGCUCUGGGCCGGUACUGACACUGAGGAGCGAAAGCGUGGGGAGCAAACAGG